rnacentral:rRNA from 1 species
UACGUAGGCAGCAAACGUUGUUCGGAAUUACUGGGCGUAAAGAGUGUGUAGGCGGUUUCGUAAGUUUGGUGUGAAAUCUCCCGGCUUAACUGGGAGGGUGCGCCGAAAACUGCGAGGCUUGAGUACUGGAGAGGAGAGCGGAAUUCCUGGUGUAGCGGUGAAAUGCGUAGAUAUCAGGAGGAACACCGGUGGCGAAGGCGGGUCUCUGGGCCGAUACUGACGCUGAGGAGCGAAAGCGUGGGGAGCGAACAGG